AACGAACGCUGGCGGCAGGCUUAACACAUGCAAGUCGAACGGAUCCUUCGGGAUUAGUGGCAGACGGGUGAGUAACGCGUGGGAACGUACCCUUUGCUACGGAAUAACUCAGGGAAACUUGAGCUAAUACCGUAUGUGCCCUACGGGGGAAAGAUUUAUCGGCAAAGGAUCGGCCCGCGUUGGAUUAGCUAGUUGGUGGGGUAAUGGCCUACCAAGGCGACGAUCCAUAGCUGGUCUGAGAGGAUGAUCAGCCACACUGGGACUGAGACACGGCCCAGACUCCUACGGGAGGGAGGAGUGGGGGAUAAUUGACAAAGGGCGGAAGGCUGAUCCCGCCCAGGCGGGGGAGUGAUGAAGGGUUUAGGAUUGUAAAGCCUCUUUAACCGUGAAGAUAAUGACGGUAGCCGGAGAAGAAGCCCCGGCUAACUUCGUG
rnacentral:rRNA from 1 species